rnacentral:rRNA from 1 species
AGUGAACGCUGGCGGUAGGCCUAACACAUGCAAGUCGAACGGCAGCACAGUAAGAGCUUGCUCUUACGGGUGGCGAGUGGCGGACGGGUGAGGAAUACAUCGGAAUCUACUUUUUCGUGGGGGAUAACGUAGGGAAACUUACGCUAAUACCGCAUACGACCUACGGGUGAAAGCAGGGGAUCUUCGGACCUUGCGCGAUUGAAUGAGCCGAUGUCGGAUUAGCUAGUUGGCGGGGUAAAGGCCCACCAAGGCGACGAUCCGUAGCUGGUGUGAGAGGAUGGUAGGCCACACUGGAGCGGGGACACGGUCCAGACUCCUACGGGAGGGAGCAGUGGGGAAUAUUGGACAAUGGGCGCAAGCCUGAUCCAGCCAUACCGCGUGGGUUAAGAAGGCCUUCGGGUUGUAAAGCCCUUUUGUUGGGAAAGAAAAGCAGCAGGUUAAUACCCCGCUGUUCUGACGGUACCCAAAGAAUAAGCACCGGCUAACUUCGUG